rnacentral:tRNA from 1 species
AAUCAAAUAGUUAUGUUUUAAUAGCUACGUUGACAUCGUAGAGGUCACAAGUUCGAAUCUUGUUAUGCCCACCA